rnacentral:lncRNA from 1 species
GUUGAAUGCCAUUCACAUAGGAAGUGUCCAUUACAUAUUUGCAUGGAGAAAUGAAUGGUGUGUUUUAUGCAUCAGGUACCUGGAAACUAAAGUUAAAUAAUUCUCUCAUUUAAAGUUGCACAGACAGAUGUUUAUAAGCUUUGGUAGGAAAGUAAUAGUGCUCUAAAAUAAUAUUAGCUGCCAUUUAAUGUACACUUUGAUAUGUGUCAGGCCCCUUCCUAAAUAAUUUAUAUGCAUAAUUUCAUUUAUGCUUUAUAAUACCUUAUGAGCUAGGCAUUGUUAUCUUCAUUUUACAGAGAAAGAGACUGAAGCAUCAGAGAAAUUGGGUAACCAGCUCAUGAUCACUGUCUCAAGGAGCAGCAGAGCCAGGAUUUGAACCUCAGAACACCUGGCUUUAAGUCUGAGCCUUAACCACAGAUUGCUGUAGGGAAGUAGCUACUAUGGAGAGACAGAUGAGUAACUUUAGAACGCUGUGAAAUCACUUCAAAUCCUGAGGGAAACAGAAGUGAAAAAAGGAUGAUCUCAUGAAGGACAUCCACUGUGCGAUCCAGGCUGCAUUUCCACAAAGCUUCGUGGGGAUCUCCUUCCAGAAACCCUGAGUGAGUGGAGAUCACCUGCCUUGCAGUUCUCUCAAGAGUCUAAACCCAUCCUUCUGCAGACAGGGUCUGCUGAGGUCCACGCUCGUCUGCUAUGCAGGUA